AUUCCAGCUCCAAUAGCGUAUAUUAAAGUUGUUGCAGUUAAAAAGCUCGUAGUUGGAUUUCUGGACGGAGCAGCCGGUCCGCCGCUGUGCGGUGUGUACUCGUGCUUGACUCGGUUCAUCCUUGUGGGGAAGCGCAUUUCGGCAUUCAGUUGUCGAGGCGGGGAACCACAUCAUUUACUGUGAAAAAAUUAGAGUGUUUAAAGCAGGCAUUUUGCUGUGAAUACAUUAGCAUGGAAUAAUAACAUAGGACUUUGAUUCUAUUUUGUUGGUUGGAGAUCAAGGUAAUGAUUGAUAGGGAUAGUUGGGGGUGCUAGUAUUGGCCGGCCAGAGGUGAAAUUCUUGGAUUCGGUCAAGACUAACUUAUGCGAAAGCAUUCACCAAGGAUGUCUUCAUUG
rnacentral:rRNA from 1 species